GCAGGCUUAACACAUGCAAGUCGAACGGGCAUAGCAAUAUGUCAGUGGCAGACGGGUGAGUAACGCGUGGGAACAUACCUCUUGGUUCGGAACAACACAGGGAAACUUGUGCUAAUACCGGAUAAGCCCUUACGGGGAAAGAUUUAUCGCCGAGAGAUUGGCCCGCGUCUGAUUAGCUAGUUGGUGUGGUAAAAGCGCACCAAGGCGACGAUCAGUGGCUGGUCUGAGAGGAUGAUCAGCCACAUUGGGACUGAGACACGGCCCAAACUCCUACGGGAGGCAGCAGUGGGGAAUAUUGGACAAUGGGCGCAAGCCUGAUCCAGCCAUGCCGCGUGAGUGAUGAAGGCCCUAGGGUUGUAAAGCUCUUUUGUGCGGGAAGAUAAUGACGGUACCGCAAGAAUAAGCCCCGGCUAACUUCGUGCCAGCAGCCGCGGUAAUACGAAGGGGGCUAGCGUUGCUCGGAAUCACUGGGCGU
rnacentral:rRNA from 1 species